rnacentral:rRNA from 1 species
UGCAGUCGACGGAAACGAUGGGAGCUUGCUCCCAGGCGUCGAGUGGCGGACGGGUGCGUAACGCGUAGGAAUCUACCCAGUAGUUGGGGACAACACGAAGAAAUUCGUGCUAAUACCGAAUACGGUCUACGGACUAAAGGGGGCCUCUUCUUGAAAGCUCUCGCUAUUGGAUGAGCCUGCGUCAGAUUAGCUUGUUGGUGGGGUAAUGGCCUACCAAGGCGACGAUCUGUAGCUGGUCUGAGAGGAUGAUCAGCCACACUGGGACUGAGACACGGCCCAGACUCCUACGGGAGGCAGCAGUGGGGAAUAUUGGACAAUGGGGGCAACCCUGAUCCAGCAAUGCCGCGUGUGUGAAGAAGGCCUGAGGGUUGUAAAGCACUUUCAGUAGGGAGGAAAUCAUCAAGGCUAAUACCCUUGUAAAUGACGUUACCUACAGAAGAAGCACCGGCUAACUCCGUGCCAG